rnacentral:rRNA from 1 species
CACGUAGGGGGCGAGCGUUGUCCGGAAUUACUGGGCGUAAAGGGUGCGUAGGUGGUUUCUUAAGUCAGAGGUGAAAGGCUACGGCUCAACCGUAGUAAGCUUUUGGAACUGUAAGACUUGAGUGCAGGAGAGGAGAGUGGAAUUCCUAGUGUAGCGGUGAAAUGCGUAGAUAUUAGGAGGAACACCAGUAGCGAAGGCGGCUCUCUGGACUGUAACUGACGCUGAGGCACGAAAGCGUGGGGAUCAAACAGGAUUAGAUACCCGGGUAGUCCCUGAG